rnacentral:rRNA from 1 species
UACAGAGGUCUCAAGCGUUGUUCGGAUUCAUUGGGCGUAAAGGGUGUGUAGGUGGCGCGGUAAGUGGGGUGUGAAAUCUCGAGGCUCAACCUCGAAACUGCAUUCCAUACUGCGGUGCUUGAGUACUGGAGAGGAGACUGGAAUUUACGGUGUAGCAGUGAAAUGCGUAGAUAUCGUAAGGAAGACCAGUGGCGAAGGCGGAUCUCUGGACAGUUACUGACACUGAGCCACGAAGGCCAGGGGAGCAAACGGG